GAGGUGGUUGACUUCUGGCCUUCCAUCACUUACCUAGCAACCUUGUCUCUCUGUGCUAAGUAUUUCUAAGUCAACUCUUUGAUUUCCAUUUACUUCCAUGGAUUUGUUGGUGACUGCUAGAGACAUCCAAACUAAUGGGUUACCUUGACCUUCAACUCUUCCAAGCAGAUUCUCAAAGCUACAGAGGAAGCAGGAAGUUAUACACAACUCGAAGGUGGCAGAUGAGAAAGUUGCCUUAGUUUCAGAAGAGGGGCUGCAGACCCUAUCUAGCAGACUUGCUAGACGUUCAACCUGGCUCAUAAACUCUGAAGAAUGGGCACAUGUCAAGGCUUUGGAGGAGAGAGGACUGACUGGUGAAAAUGCAAGAUGGAUCACUCACCUUCAUCCACCAAAAUGGAGCAAAGGAAUGAAAAAGAGCAUAAAGUGAAUGGAAGAGAACACAGAGGAGAGAGUGCACGCCUUUGCCCAGCUGUGGAUAAAAUUAAAGAACAUAAUAAUGACAGCCCUAAACACUGAUUUAAUCAGCAUGUGUGAGUGGGAGGAGGGCAAGGGUGUGUGGCAGGAAGUGCAGAUGAAGAGCUCUAAACCUUCACCUUCCAUUGGAGAAAGGCAAUAGCCAAUACCUAAAUGUGAACAUCGAGAUAGGGCUGAGAAGGCGGCUUGUGUUUGAGAAAUACAAAGUAAACACCAGAAAAAGCUACUUAACAGAGAGGGGAAUGAAGCCAGGCAGGUAUGUCUCAGUGGUUGAGGGUUGACCUAUGAACCAGGAGGUCACAGUUUGAUUCCCUGGGCCAGAUCCCCAGUGUGGGGCUUUGCAAGAGGCAGCUGAUCAAUGAUAUUCUCUCUC